AUUUUCUGUUUAGUUUUGUACGUAGCAGAACUGUAGGCUGUCGUUCGUGGUUUGGUUGAAGUGUUUCUAUUAAUUGAAUAUGAACACUCACCACGCUGCGCUUUGGUCCCCUACUUCCACAGACGACGGCCGUUACAGGCUUCGCUCAGGAUCUGAUGCACUAAAAUAAGGAUCUCCCUCACUACACCCUCAGGAACUUCUCCUUUUUCUCUUGGAUACCAUGGAUUUAACAGGUGACAUCAAUAAGGGAUAAAUAGCCUUCACCUGGAUUCACCUGCUCAGUCUACAGUAUGUCAUGGAAAGAAAGUUUUGUACACUCAGUGUAUAUCCGUCUGAAUGUACUGCAUUGUCUCGACAGAAGCCCACUUGCGCAGGAAGACAACACCCCACCUUGUGUCCGAAGAGGACACUAGUCUGCAAUAUGCUACAGCAACAUCUACCAGUGACCGAGCAAGUCUGCUUUAUACUACUGUGACAUUUACCGGUAACCAAGCUGGACCUGGGUGCACCAAGAUCAAGUUUGCAAUGACUGGAGACUACGCCCUCUUAGCAGAAUAAUAGAAUAAGAAAGACUGUCUUGAAGAAAAGUUUUUAGUUUUUCUCAUAGUUAACUUACGUGCCUUUCCUUCAACCUGGUGAUGCACUUACAAAAAAUAAUAAUAAUAUCACCCUGCUUGAUUUACAUAUCUUCUACUCUGUGGACACCAUGUCUUCCUGUAGUCUGUAAACAUCAGUUCCUCUCAGAUUAAUGGUAUUAUCUUACUGGGCUAUAAAUAGAUGUGCAGAGGUUUUAGGAUAAGAUUAAUUUCAACAUGUAUACUUGAUAAAUGUGUAAAUGAACAGCUUUCUUGAUUUAUAAGUCAAUAUGUCAUUUAAAAGUUGUGUGUGUAAAAUGAGAAAACCACAGAGAUAAAAAUAGUUUUUUUAUAUUGAUUCCGUUUCUCUGUAUUGCAGAACAUUCUUAAUAAACCACUUCACUAACUGUUAGAGGAAAGCAAUACAAAAGGACUCUUGAUUUGCAAGCUAACAUGGUGGUUCUGUUUGGAACUCAUUCUUCACCCAUGCAUUUUCACAUUUAUGUGCAAAGCUUUAACUAGAGG
rnacentral:lncRNA from 1 species